AUGGGCAAGGCUUCGAAAGACAAGCGGGACAUCUACUACCGGAAGGCCAAGGAGGAGGGGUGGAGGGCUCGCAGCGCCUUCAAGCUCAUGCAGAUCGACCAGGAGUUCAACAUCUUCCACGGAGUGAAGCGUGCCGUUGACCUGUGCGCCGCUCCUGGGAGCUGGAGCCAGGUUUUGAGCCGCAAUUUGUAUUUACCGGCGAAGCUAUCAUCUGACGGCAAAGAUGGUGGCCUUCCUCUCAUCGUCGCAAUCGAUCUGCAACCUAUGGCUCCGAUAGAAGGUGUCAUACAAGUGCAGGGCGACAUCACCAAUGCUCGAACAGCGGAAGUGGUUAUCAGGCACUUUGAUGGAUGCAAAGCGGACUUGGUUGUCUGUGAUGGUGCCCCUGAUGUUACUGGACUUCAUGAUAUGGACGAGUUUGUUCAGUCCCAGCUUAUAUUGGCGGCACUGACAAUUGUGACUCAUGUACUUAAAGUUGGUGGAAAAUUUGUUGCGAAGAUUUUCCGGGGUAAAGAUACAAGUCUCCUGUAUUGCCAGUUAAAGCUGUUCUUCUCACAAGUUACAUUUGCAAAGCCAAAAAGCAGCCGCAACUCAAGUAUCGAGGCAUUUGCAGUUUGCGAGAACUACUCACCUCCAGAGGGCUUCAAAGAGAAAGAUUUAUAUCACCUGUUGGAGAAAGUGGGAACUCCUUCUGGGGCUGAUGAUUUAGAUUGCAGAAGCGGAUGGUUGGAGGGACCAAACAAGGUCUACAUCCCGUUUCUGGCUUGUGGCGACCUCAGCGGUUACGAUUCGGACCGUUCAUACCCCCUCCCGAGCACAGAAGGCGGCACCUACCAGAGCCUAGAUCCAGUCCAGCCUCCCAUCGCCCCGCCGUACAAAACUGCGUUGGAGAUGAAGAAGGCGUCUAGCCACGGUGCUGGCGCAGAUACCAGCAAAUCAUCUCUCGACCCCUAA
rnacentral:rRNA from 1 species